UAUAUUUAAAUAAUAUAUAUGCAUGCAGCAGGUUCCCAUAAAUCAGAAGCUUUGGUGCUUUGUCCUAGGCUGUUGGCCAUGCCCACUGGGAUUGCUGGGAGAUGUAGUUCAGCAACUUCUGGAGGACCAAAGGUUCCUCAUACCUGCCAGGGAGGGAGCCACUCCACCCUAAGAUACUUUGUCUUCAGACAACUCACAGUGCUCUCUCAGUCUUUGGUGUCUCCAAAAGUGAGACUGCCUUACUUUUUUCUUUCCCCCCUCCUGCCACCUCUCCCUCCCUGAAAUGUGAUUUCAGAACUUACUCUUGAACUGAAUUUCCUAAUUGCCUAUUCAGGGAACUGUGCAGUUUGUGCCUGCAGUUCUUUAUACACAUCCUUGGGAUCUUUCAGAGGCCUUCCCUGGCAUCCAUAAUGUCUUUUUGCCACUAAACCCACUGAAAUUUGGCUUCAAGAAGCAUUGUGUUGUAGCCAGUAGAAUAGAGUGUGGUGUGUGUUUCAUGCCCACAAGUGUUUCUCUGGUUCGCACACAUGCCCACAGGCUCCAAAAGUUUGGUAACCCCUAAGUAUACUUCCAACCAGGCAUGUAAGGGUUGCACUGUAAGAAACCUAGCUCUUAGUAUUCUUUUGCUAGGUCAUUGGCACUCAUUCCCAGCAGUCAAGCUGGCACAACUCAUAAAGCUAUAUCUUUUCCUGUUCUGCUUUUGGUCUUCAUUGAUUUUUAUUUAUGGCAGGCUUUCUGUGAAAGUAGCUUCAUUCACAGCUGAGUUGCGCUGUGAAAAUGUUUUGCUAGAGCUGUUAACGUAAACACAGAAGGACAAAUGGAAAAUUAAAAUAGAGCUUGCUUUUUCCUGGAAAGCAAGAUGGAGCCACCUUGUGGUGAUGACAUUCAUUUUGCAAUUAUUAUGAGCAAUGCUUGAGCUGUCAUCUGAUUUUGCAGGGUUCCAUCCCGGUAACAUUCAUCAGAUGAUCUUAGCUACCAAAAUCUGAUUCGGUUCAAAUUGUUUCUUUGUUCUGCAUUUCAUUUCUCUACUGUUCAUCUUCCAAAACACAGUCAGUAUAUUGUUAACACCUCCAGCUUUUCAAUUCUUUUGUCCACAAAUAAAAAUGUUGAUGUUCCUAUACAACAAGGGUAGCCCAAAUAGUGCCCUCCAGAUAUUGUUAUACUACAACUCCCAUCACAGCUGACUAUUGGCCAUGCUGGCUGGAGGUUAUGGGAGUUGUAGUCGAAAAUAUCUAGAGGGCAUCAUGUUGGCUAUCCUUGCUAUGCUACCUUGCAUUCUGCCCAUGCCCUGCAUCAAUAGAAAAAAGAAGCAACAACAAAUGCUAUGGUAGAUAAUUGUCCAUCCAGGAAUACUGAAAUGGCAGCAUCCCAUUAGGUCCAAGACCCUUAUGUUCUUAAGAGGUGUCCCUGGAUGGAAGGCCUGCUCUGUGCUAGCCUGGAGCUGGAGUAGUUAAUACCUGCCACUGCACUGUGGCUUAAAGACAAAGGCUAAUGGGGGUGAGGAUGGAAUUCGCCCCCUCCUAGUCCUUGACCUGGCUGGCAUGAACCAUCAGGAUUUGGACCUUGCAGUCGAUCUGCUUCUUCAUGCCCUUUCCCUCUUCCACUUAAGACUGCAUUGUGAGAAAGAAAUGACAAUAGCAUAGAUAAGAAGGAAGUCAGCAGAAAUCAAGUUGCCGGUAAUUAACAGUGCACAGCAAAAAGAAACACCUCCACAGUUUGAAGAGAUUCACCGUAAAUUAAAACAAGAGACACUGAAUUGCAAAGCAGAGGAAGCAAAUAUUUUUAUUAGACUACAAACUGAAAAUGCAAUAAUCCAUUGGUCCUAUUGGAAUGCUGGCCAGGUAAAAUCCUUAAUAAUCUUUUUUUUUUUUAAUUUGAGAAAAAUAAUUUUCAGUUCAGAGAAUGUGGGAUUCAAAAGAAAAAUCUAAAACUGUGCCUCUUCUCUGAGACAGCUGCUUUACAUCUGUCACUAUAUGUAAGGCACUGGAUUUAAGGCUUGUUCCUUUAAACAAUCUGACUGGCUCUUUCUGGAAUUCUGUUGUGUAUUUGUUUUGCUUUUUAUGUAGUGUAAUCUGUUGCUUUGUUGUUGUUUUUAAGUGAAACAAUUCUUAAGAAAAUCUUCUCACUCAUGUUGAUUCAAUUUAGUUCCAGUACAAUACUUCUGGAACUGUGAAUUUAAAAAAGUACCCCCAAGCUGGUAAAUUGUCUUUAUGAGUCAAUUUCACAUAUCCUGGUUAGUGUAAAUAACUUACAGUUUGCUCAGUGAUUGUAGUGUGGGAACUUAUCUGUGAGAGGCAGAUAACUGCAGCCUCCGUAUUAACAAGAAAAGUACUUCUUUGCAAAACACGUGAUUUAUGUGGAAUUCACUGACACUCACUUUUAUUGAGCUUUAACAAAGGAUUAAACCAGUUGUGCUUGGCUCUCCAGUUGUGUUUGGACCAUAACUCCUUUCUUCCCUGACCAUUGGUCAUGCUUCUUGGGGCUGAUGAAAGUUGGAGUCCUCUCUAACCACAUCUGGAAGACCACAGGCUCCCCAUCCCUGGAUUAAAUAAGAUGAACUCUCAGAGGAUAGGUAUAUCCAUAGUUUCUAGGCAUGAUGCCUAAAUAGAAGCUUUGAGCUUUCUCGAAACAUUCAUUUAGCCACUAUGGGAAAGAAGGUGCUGGAGUAAAGGGAGCAGCAAGCCAGACACCUCUGGAACACUCAAAAGCAAGGCAUGAUCAGGGCCAGCUCAAGACACUUUGGCACCUGAGGCAGACCCCAAAAUGGCACCUCCCUCCCUGCCAGGGAAGAAGGGAUUACGGAGGAUCAGGAACAAGUGGGGGAAGAAAGAUCUGCUGCCUCUAUGGAUCUUGCUGCCUGAGGCAGUCACUUCGCUGGCCCUGGAUAUGAUAUGAUUAUAGGUUUGGGGGAGGGUCCAUGUGGGUGAUAUCUGUGGGUUCCUUCCAGGCCUAUGAUCCUGUAUCUGUGAGGUAAUACUGUAAGGGAGGAAACCUGCUGAACCCAUCAUACCAGUUCCUUUGUUAAGAUAACAGCUUUGGCUGGUCAGUUAAGCAAUGCCAUUUACAUGUCCAAAGAGGUUGCCCUGUUGCCUUGGUGACAAAGUAGUGGUGCUUUUCCCACCUUACCUGUCUGCAUGCUAUGUUAUUAGACCAUUUAAUUUUCAAUACAUUUUUUUUAAUGUUCUAGGCUAGAGAAAACUGGACUAACUCCUUUUUUAAUAAUGAUUUUUAUUAACUUUUUAUUACAACACAUAAACACACGACACUUAAGAAACAAACUAAAAAGAAAACACAAAACACAUGACAAGCAUAUAGCCAUAACCCGAAAGCUCUUACUCACGGACUUAUGUUACCCUAUUUUCUAUUUCCGAUUCUUAUUCUAUUCUAAUAGACUUCCUUCCUCCUCAAAACGGGUCUAAUUUCUUGUUUGAUAAACUGCUUCUUUCUCAUUUCAUCAUUUCUACCCUUCUCAUAUACUAUACUUGUAGACCAUAUUUUGUUUUGCAAAAAUUACUCAGAGCAAGUCCAGGUUUUGAUUUGGCCACACUGGUUUUUUUAAGGUAAUCUAACUCCUAUAGGAUUCCUGUUGGGUCAGAAUUGUUGCAAAAAAUGUGCUGUAAUAAAGUUUUCUCUCAAGUUGUGUUCAGCUCACGGUAAACAUAAGUUUGUAGCACCUGGAGUUCCUUCCCUUGUUUUGCCCGCUAGUGGUGCUACCUCAUUUCCAGUUAAUUUUCUACCAUACCUUUUAUACAAAACUUGUGUCCUAGCCAUAGAACCCUGCAAUUUGUAUAACAUUUCUUUAUUUCUCAUUGGACUGUUUCAGUAAUUUGAAAGGAAUAGGUGAAAAAUCCCCGUUGACUUAUUUCUGCAGAUGUUUUUAAGGUGUGAUUUCCCCCCUCAUUCUUUUCUAACGCAUAACUUUUAGCAUCACUUUUGAGGCAGAACUCAUUCCUUUGAUGUAUAAUAAUUUGUUGCAUGAUCAGAGCUUCCAAAGACAAGAAAACCUUCAUUAUUCAUCAUGGAGCAUGGAUGGGAUUUGAUGAGCUCCGUGUCAGAAGGAAAAGGGAAGGAAUUAUUUAUGCUGCUUCUCUCAAACAUUUAUUGUGCACUGAAGUCAGACUGUAACCAUUUGAAGUGUAAUUCCGGAUUUAUUUGACUGGAAAUAUUCCAUUAUGUUUAGGUCCAAUGAAGGAUAGCAAACUGGACUGGUGGGAGCUGGCCAUUGUACGACAGAUAUCUGUUCUUUUGCAAUGUUCAAAUAAGAUUGGAACAACAUGGGAAAUGGGAUGUGUCUUGAUGGGCACGAAAAUAUGCAUCCUUGUAAGCAUUCCAUACUGUCUUACACUAUCCAAGUCUAGAAUAAGAAUCUUUUAUUCGCUUAUCUGUAAAAUUCCAAUUUCACUGUUGUCUUAAGGUCAAUAUUGCCUAUUCUAGGUUGUUUUUAGGUGGCAUCUAAUUAUGUGAGGCAUAGAAAAUGUGACACUAUAAAAUAUCGUAAGAUAAGAAUAUUUUCCCCUGUUUAGAUUAGUUCCUCUGGAAUAGACUGAUUAGUAGAAUUAAUCAAAAUCUAGCCAUUUGUCAGCUAGCGGAAGGAGAGACAAUAUGCAAACACAUCUUAUGAAUUUAGACUUUGCUAAUGUUAUCAGUUUACAGUGCCAGUCUUUAGGAAUCCCUUUUGGAAUUUACCACCAAUAGCUAAUUAAUACACUUCAGCAAAGCAUAUACCUAAAGUUGUUUUGCUGGUGGGUUUGAUUUUGGCUUUACAUAAAGGAGAGGAGAAUCUUUGAGUACAUUUUCUAUUUUUAUUAAUAAACAUAUCAUUCUGGUAUCACAUAAAUAUCCAAAUAUAAAACAUACAUACUCUAUAAUAGUGGUGGUGGUGGUGGUUGUUAUUCUUUUGUAACGAAAUCCAUCAUUUUAUAAGUCCAGGUCUCAAAAGUGCUUGUACAGGCAUUUCCGCACUUGUGCAUGAUUAGCACGCAUGUGCCCACAGACACAUGCAUCAUCCCAGUGAUGUGCCAGGAAUGGAACCCUCACAUAAGUGGGGAUUCCCCUGUAUAUGAUAGUGCCAAAGAGGAGACAAACAGGCAUGAGAGUUCUAGGAUGCUGCUAUUUUCAAACACAUGGUUUUUAUACCGUUUUGGAGAAUUCUGUUACAUAAAGAUUAACUCAACUGUUCCAUUGGUUUUUGAGAUGUAAACAUAAAGGAGACUUGCAGCUACUUACUAAAUUUUUAUCCCCAAACAGUCCUAAAAGACAUAAACAAGGAGACACAAUUUCUUCUAUAUAAAAGUGAAUUCCUAAAUUUAACUUAACAAAUUCUAAAUUCAGCUUUUACUAUCAUUUAAUCGAUGCAUCAACUUUUAGGAUUAUCCUUAUAAUAGCAUGUAUAUAUUAAGAUCGUGUAUUUCUUAGUUCAAAAUUUAUCAGUUGCUAUUUAUUUAAUUCUUAGUUCAACAUUUAUCAAUUUAUUAACUGAUGAACAAAACUUUAAACACAGUUUUGACCUUGAAUGAUAGAUUAAUCAUCCAACAGUCUUUAGAGAGGGUUCUGACCUUGCACACUGAUUCCUUUCCCCUCAAAUAACCCUGUGACCUGUGUGAUAAUGAUUCAACUCAACUUUCUUUCAAUAUUUAUAGAAAUUACCCAAAGUACAUUUUGGAUUAAGUUGAAAAAAAGUUAUGCAGAAUUCAGGGAGAGCUUACUUUGUGUCUUUGUGCCUUUCCAUGAUAUACUUUUUUGCUUUUUACACCGCUAAAUUCUAUACUCUGGUUUCUCUUCAGAUUGUAUAAUAAUAAUAAUAAUAAUAAUACAGUGGUACCUCGGGUUAAGUACUUAAUUCGUUCCAGAGGUCCGUUCUUAACCUGAAACUGUUCUCAACCUGAAACACCACUUUAGCUAAUGGGGCCUCCUCCUGCUGCCACGCCGCCGGAGCAUGAUUUCUGUUCUCAUCCUGAAGCAAAGUUCUUAACCCAAGGUACUAUUUCUGCAUUAGCGGAGUCUGUAACCUGAAGCAUAUUUAACCUGAAGUGUAUGUAUGAAGUACCACUGUAAUUUAUUAUUUAUACCCCUCCCAUCUGGUUGGGUUUCUUUUGCCUUUUUAAAAACUAAAUUCUUAAUUAUUUAUUGUGAACCAUUGCCAUGCCUUAACUACUAUUGUCUUCAGCCAUUCUUAGCAAUUUGAGGAUCUGAAGAAGCUUUUGCCUAAAAUAGCCUUUGCCAACUUGGUGCUGCCCAGAUAUUGUUGGACUACAACUCCUAUAUCAUCUCUGACCAUUGGGCAGCUGGGUGUCCAACAUCUGGAUGGUACUAGAUUAGCAAAUGCUGCUCUCAAAUUUGUAACAUUUCAGAAGUGUUCUCCAGCUUCCACAAAAGGGCAGACAUCAGCUUCUUAUAAAGAAAACCUGUUGUUUGUUCUGAAAGUAACACUGUUGAGGCCCAGAGCUUCCAGCUACAGUAACACCAACAGCCAAAAGAGACCUAUUUAUUUCUCACGCUGUGAGGAAAAUGGCUCCUUUUUCAGAUAUUAAUUCACCCAAUAGUACUUGUGGCAUAUCCUAGCAGGCUUGUUACAGUAUGUAUAUAGUCACAUGGUUAUCCAGUAACAUACUGCCCUGUAAUGAAAAUUCAACCACGAGUCAAUUGAUGAUCUUGCAGCUGGUUCUACUGCUUUGUGAACAGAUGUUGAUGUAGAUAAGACCUGAUGAUACGUGAUAAUUCUGACAAAGUACAUGAUGCACUCAUUUACUCCACCUGUCGCUGAGCUAACGAGCAUUUUCUGCAAUGGCACAGGUGUGCUUGUUGCAGAAGGACAAUGAGCUUUUACAAAAGGCAUUUGAGAGAGCAGUUAAUCUAGCUUUAUAGGGAGCACACCGAUUCAUCACUUGCAGCCACUCUUCACAAAGAAGCAUAUUGACUAACUGCACCUCAUAAAGGCAAAUGAAAAGGCCACAGGCUACUUAACGACUGUAUUAUUCGGCCAUAGAUUUGUGACUGAAGUCCAGAAAACAAAUGGUUACCUUGUCCAGUUGCCUGUCCAUAUGUGCAUUCCAGGUGUUCACUCCACAGGUAAGCCAGCUAGUAAGGAAAACGACUAACUAUAACAGGUUUGAUUUCUGUGUUGAGAUCCAGCAUGUUAAACUUACACAGAUGUGCUAUGCUUGGGAUUGCUCUUCUUGCAGAGUACACUGUUGAUCUCUUGUUAACACUGGAGUUAGCGGAAGUGUGAAGGAGGGAAUUGUUCCACCCUCAAACAUUUUCCCAUUCUUUUAAAUUUUUCAGAAUAUUGGGGAGGGGGGGGUUAAGACUCCCAGGAAACAUUUUCUAUAUAUUUUUGGAAACAGUAAAAUACGCGCACGUGUGUGUGUACAACCACUCAUAAAAUAAUACUUUGUGAUCUCUGAUAUUCAGACAUCUGCAAAUUUAGAAGAUCGGUCUGAUAGACACCAGAAUUGAAAAGAACAAUAUAUAAAUUGUCCCAUAGACAGCAGUGUCAUUUAAGAGGGAUGCAGUGGUACCCAGAAUGGGGAUGAGGUGGGUCUUCUACCUGCAGGAUGCUGCCACUGCCAUCAUAUAGGUGCUGUUGCCACAGUCCACCCCAGUAAACACCACACUGUUGUUUGGAGUCUGCCACUGCCGCUAUCUGCCCAUUUUGUUGCUGCGCAUGGAUCCGCUUUUAGCUCCUGGGGGAGAAAGUCAAACACUGGAAACAAAUCAUUCCAAUUUUCAGCUCUUUCCUAGUCAAUUGCAAGGGUUUGUAGGAAGACAACCAGUAGGAACCCUCCCACAGCAACCAUCCUUUGUGUUUCUACUUUUCAGUGUUACGAGUAAUGGGCUCUAGUGCUACGAGGAUAUAUUCAUAAGGAAGUGGAGAACCCUCUUCACACAAGGCUUUCUGCUUUGGUUUGUUUUAUAACACCAAGGUAGCUUGUUUAUUUCUAGGUUGGAAACAAUAUCCCGUUGAGAGCUUUAUUGUCGUCAGACUUGGAGACAACCCUCUCCUGCAGUGUACUUCAAGGACAUCUGGAAGAGAGGAAAAACACAAUCGAGCAUGAGAACCCCACCUUCUCACCACAGCAGUCCUGUUGGUUUAUAAAAUAUCUAUGCUAUGGAGUGAAUAGCCAAGGACUCUGGAUUGUCUGAACCUUCCCAGCGCAGCGCUCUGGGGUGUGUCUCAUGCACAGUGCUUCAGCAAGUGAUGUACACCUUUAUGCUUUGAUGGCAAUUUUGCCUUAGAAACCUUAGGUGGUAUCUAAUGGUGCAUGAGUGAAUUUUGGCUCACAGAAUGGACUCUCCCUGUCUCUGCUCCAACCUGCAGCUCCCCCCCCCCACCCGCCCUAUCACACGCAGCAACCAUCUGGAGCAGAUUUUGAUGAUGCAUGGCAGGGGGCUGCAGGAAGGGAGAGGAAGAGGAACUCCUCUUGUGGAAGCAGAAAUCUGCUCUGCAGCAGCAGCAGCAGCAGCUUCUGAAUAACAGUUACUGAAAAUCACAGGAGGGGAGAUGCUGGGAUUUUGCUUGCUCAUUUCCCACAGGCAAGUGUUCAGUCGCUGUGAGAACAGGACGCAGGACUAGAGGGGCUAUUGGUUUGAUCCCUCAGGCUUGUCUUGUCUUCUUAUAACCUAUCUUUGGCUGCAUACACACCAUAUAUUUAGAGUACAUUUAAAGCAUCUUCCCCAUUCCAAGAAUCCUGGGAACUCUAACUUACCAUUCACAGAGCUGCAAUUUCCAGCACCUUUCACAAAUUACAGUUCCCAGCAGCAGCUUUCAACUUACACAUUGUUAAGGGCCACAUGUAUGCUUGGUCUGUGAAUGGAUCUUCCAACACGUUCAUUUUUACUCUAAAGGAACCACAGAAGCUUCUUCCCCUGCCUGACCUAUUUUCCUGGUUUAAACCUCACCUGGCUGUUAUUUAGAUCCACAGUGGGAAUUUAAAAAGCAGACAGACACAAUACAGAUAUGUGCAUUUAUCAACCACAGAGCUAUUUGCACUUCAAGUUUGUGUGUGAUUUAGAUCAGGAAAAGAAAGAAGGGUUAAUCUUUUCCCUAAAUACUGCUCUUCCAAUCAUGUCAGUCUCAUAUCAUUGCCUGUCUGGACAAGUGGUAAUAUUUUGAGAAUGUGCUGGGAGUACCACUCACAAAAUGGCUGCCAUGGAGUGGGUGUGGCAUAGUACAAAAUGGGAGAGACAACUACUCCCAACAACCAUGGGAAAUCAGCUGUGUCGUGCAGGUCCUGAUUAGGGCGAUCACACACACACACACACACACACACACACACACACACACACUGGUGUUGCUGCUGUCUAGUAACAACAGGGAGCCUUCCGCAUUACCAGAAUAAAUAUUCAAGGUAGUCACACCACUCAUUUCAUGUAAAUUGUUUUGAAGGUACCUGGCAUUUUGCCCUAUAAUUUUAUUCUAGGAGGGCUAGAGAUGUAAAAGAAAGAUAUCUCAGAGUCUCUGUUGCUAGAAACAUGGGUUCAUAUUAAAUUAUUCUGCAAAAGUUCUCUGCAUUUUAAGUAGUUGCAUACUUACUGAACUAUGACAGAACCAAAUAUUGUUUCAUCUUGGUAGAGAUUGCAAUGUUCCCUGCUGCUAAUUAACUUUGACAAAUGGAUCGUUGUAUUUAUGAUACAGUGAUGAAGUAGGAAAGACUUGAUUUGCCAGUAUGUGUACUUCUGAUUCAUUUUUGUCUCUGUCCUCCUUCAUCCUCCAAAUGAGUGGCUUCACACCUCAGAGAGACUCUCAUCUUGCCAUACUUUAGAUGAUUUGAAACAAUGUAGGAUUUACCUUUGUCAGCAUUUUUCAGAAACACGGGAAGAUGUCAAUUGCUGCUGGCAGAAACUUCACCAACUACAAAGAAACAAUGGCUGUGAACUUCUUUAUGGCUUUUAGCAUCAAAGUAGCUGGGUGUCAUGACCCUGGGGUCAGACUCCCUUUCUUAAAGACUUAAGAAGAACCCUGCUGGUUCAGAGCAAAGGCUCCAUCUAGUCCAACAUCUUGUUCUGACAGUAGCCAGCCAGAUGGUUAUGGGAAGCCAGCAAACAGGACCUGAGGGCAGCAACACUCUCCCCACUUGUGAUUCUUAGCAAUGGUUAUUCAGAGGCAUAUUACCUCCACCUGUGGAGAUACAUCUUGCCCAUCAUGGUUAUUAGCCAUUGAUUGUCUAAUCCUCUUUUAAAGCUGUUCAAUUUGGUGGCCAUAACAACAUCCCAUGGAUGCUCUAGCUGUGUCAUCACAGAAGCUGUAUAGCCAGUGGAGAAUUCUUUGCACGUUAGAGGUGUUUAGACAGCUGGUGAAAAGUCAUAGAAUUAAGUAGUACCAGCUACACCAGUAGAGCUAGAAAUGCCGUACAUUUACAUUUUGGAAAUAUACAUCUAUUCUUGUGUGGAAUAAUUGCAUGCAGGCCCUGUUGUACCUUGCUGAUUUGCCAAUAUGUCAAUGUAUAUUUCAGUUGCGAUGCACAUUUGUUGUUGUUGUUAUACUACACCACACGUUAAAGAAUCAAUAGUAUGUAGUAGAACAGGCGUAGGCAAACUUGGCCCUCCAGAUGUUUUGGGACUACAAUUCCCAUCAUCCCUGACCACUGGUCCUGUUAGCUAGGGAUGAUGGGAGUUGUAGUCCCAAAACAUCUGGAGGGCUGAGUUUGCCUAUGCCUUUAGUAGAACAUGCAGAAGGUCCCAAUUUCAAUCCCUGGUCUCUCUAAUGAAUUUAUAUUGGGUGUAAGGGCUGAGGAAAAACCUCAGUCUGUGAUCCAACUGCUGGAAGGAUCAAUGGCCUGAUUUGGCACAAGGAACUUCAAUAUGUUAAUAUAUACUUCUUGCAGGAUAAUGAUGAAUUUGAGUACGGGGGACUAUUUUAGAACUCCUCAUACCUGUGUCUAGUAAAAACAAGCAGCCAUUAAUAAAAGGGUUGAACUUUCAAAUUAUGCAUGCAUAUAUAUUGGGAGGGUGUGCAAGGUUGACCCUACCUAUGUCUAGAGAAAACAAAACCUUAAAUUUUUUGGAAAUAAUAUGGCUUAGCAUAUAUAUAUAUAGGCAAAAUUCCUCACCUAUGCAAACUCUAUUCUGUUCCUUGCUUUGCGUUUUGUUUAAAUUGGCUUUGCUGUUGCUUUCUUGCUGUACAUUCUCCCUAUAUAGAGAACAGCUUUGAGAAAUAUAAAUGAGCCCACAGUUCUGAGGUGCAUUUCACUAAUUGGUUGAUUACAGGGUAGCAUAACUGAAGUAGCUGACAUUUAAUUGCUCUACUAGCUAUCAGAUGUAGAAAUAACAAGCAGCUGGGGCUGCAAAACCACAAAUGGAGAGUUUUGUUGAGAUUGGCUACUUGGAUUGACCCUGAACUGUUUUUCCUGACCUUUGGAUUUUGCUUGUGUGGAUUGACCCUCUGACUUUGAACUUUAGACUUGGCAUACUCAUUUGUUGCCAGGUAGGUCAGGGGUUCAGGACACAAAUUGUCCAAGGGGUCCUCACAUACCUACAGAGGAAGUAUGAAGAAAGACGGGUUAUUUCAAUAUUUCUGUGUAGGACUCUUCAGGCUGACAGCUCCAGCUAUUUCCUUUCCUCUCUGAAUUUGCCUAGUGAUCUGAAAUCCCAAUUAUAAUCACAUUUCAAAUUGGAGAUAACAAAAGAAUUGACAGCCCCUUGUGUCUGAACAAUUGUGAAUUCAUGCAUUUUUUCUACAUUUCUUUAAAGGAGCAUUUUAACUGUCAAAUGGAGUAUUCAGUUAAUUUCCGGCUAUAACGCUCACAUCACCAACCAGGGAAUUGGAUCCAAGCUUGCCUGCAGAGGCAGGCUUGAAGGCAGGGCUUUUCUUGGGGACGGGCCUGACAGAGCAUGUAGACUCCCCUCAGGUCUGCUCCUUGGAUAUAUAAGGCAUCUUCUAUCUUGGAAAUAUGGUCUGAAGCUCAACAUCAAAAAAAACUAAGAUCAUGGCCACUGGGCCCAUCACCUCCUGG